rnacentral:rRNA from 1 species
AUUGAACGCUGGCGGCAUGCCUUACACAUGCAAGUCGAACGGUAACAGGUUAAGCUGACGAGUGGCGAACGGGUGAGUAAUAUAUCGGAACGUGCCCAGUAGUGGGGGAUAGCCCGGCGAAAGCCGGAUUAAUACCGCAUACGACCUACGGGUGAAAGCGGGGGAUCGCAAGACCUCGCGCUAUUGGAGCGGCCGAUAUCAGAUUAGCUAGUUGGUAGGGUAAAAGCCUACCAAGGCGACGAUCUGUAGCUGGUCUGAGAGGACGACCAGCCACACU